rnacentral:rRNA from 1 species
UACGAAGGGGGCUAGCGUUGCUCGGAAUCGCUGGGCGUAAAGGGUGCGUAGGCGGGUCUUUAAGUCAGGGGUGAAAUCCUGGAGCUCAACUCCAGAACUGCCUUUGAUACUGAGGAUCUUGAGUUCGGGAGAGGUGAGUGGAACUGCGAGUGUAGAGGUGAAAUUCGUAGAUAUUCGCAAGAACACCAGUGGCGAAGGCGGCUCACUGGCCCGAUACUGACGCUGAGGCACGAAAGCGUGGGGAGCAAACAGGG